rnacentral:rRNA from 1 species
CCUACGGGGGGCAGCAGUGAGGAAUAUUGGUCAAUGGGCGCAAGCCUGAACCAGCCAUCCCGCGUGCAGGAAGACGGCCCUAUGGGUUGUAAACUGCUUUUCCAGGGGACGAAUAGUUUCUACGUGUAGAGACCUGACGGUACCUUGGGAAUAAGCAUCGGCUAACUCCGUGCCAGCAGCCGCGGUAAUACGGAGGAUGCAGGAGUUAUCCGGAUUCAUUGGGUUGAAGGGGGGCGAAGAAGGAAGAGGUGAAAUCCUACAGCUUAACUGUAGAACUGCCAUUGAUACUGUUAGUCUUGAGUUUGGUUGAGGUAGGCGGAAUGUGUAAUGUAGCGGUGAAAUGCUUAGAUAUUACACAGAACACCAAUUGCGAAGGCAGCUUACUGGACCGACACUGACGCUGAGGCACGAAAGCGUGGGGAUCGAACAGGAUUAGAUACCCGUGUAGUC